GGUAAAUCCCGGAAGUACUCUUUCAGCAAUGCUCCUACGUCGUGACAGUUGUGGGACUCGUCCAGUUUAACGUCUUUUCCACUAUCAAACUCCUCCCUCAGCUGAAACAAAGAUAAACUGUGUCAGCAAGAACGUUUUUCUUCUAAAUAUGUGUCUUCCAAAGCGUUCAGUGGUACUAUUCCAUUUACAAAGAAAGAGUGCAUUGGAUAUCAAAAGAAAAACUACUUCAUCACACUAUAGAAAGCGAACAAAAGAACCUGAACGAUUGAAAAAAUCAUCAAAUUUUUCUUUAAAAUUUAUCUUUCUUUCAAAAAUAUUACUUUGAAGCCACUUUCCUAGGCUUUCAUGAAUUUCAUAUCAAUGACCUCAUAAUACCUAACCACAAUAGAGGUUUCAUGAUUUGCUGACCUCAAUAUAUCCUUUUAUGUUUAGAAACAACUAUUUCUUAUCUGUUAUUUAAAUCAAAACUCAAGCUGUUGCGAAUCACGAAAAAAAAAAUGCAGUAAUAAACUACAGAAAUGUAUUGAUUUGAUGUUUUAAAUUUCAUGUAAAUCGGAUCAGAAAUUAUCUAAUUGUAAAAUACAGUGACAUUUUCCAUAGAAACUUUCGUGCAUAUUGACUGCAGUUCCUUUCAAUUUGAAUAUAUGUGAAAUAUUUUUCAAAAAGUGAUUGCCUUGAAAAUGAUAUAGACCUCCUGUGUUGUUAACAACUCCAGUAGUUCAUGCCUUGGAGGCUUCGUGUCUAUUCCAAGAAUAGUACUGGAACCAAGUUCAUUUAUGCUGAUGUUUCCCAAAAUAAUUAUGUUCGAAGCACCAUUAAUCAUGUACCCUGUCAUCGAUUCAAACGUAGUUGUGCACUUUUUAUGUAACCUUGGAAACAAAAACCCCGAAGACAGAGCUUCAUUGUUUUCAGUCAUUUACAAGUACCUUUCACAUUCAUUAACAAAUUCUGUAUUAUCAUACCUGUUUCACUCGCUUUUUAGAUGCACCAACUCGGAAAAUGCCGAGAACUUGAAGGCCUGAAAAAAGAUCAGUUACACUUGGCCUUUUUUCGUCCCCCUUACUAAUUGCGAGAUGUUAACGUGAUUGCUUACCAUAAGCCUCGAGGAACUUAAAACAGGUCUGUACUAUCUCAGGGACGUGUGGCCGAUGGGAGGAGGACAGAAGCUGGUCGUUCUUCAGAUUCUCUGGACGUGAUAUUGACAGCGACAAGGCGUCGACCAGACUAGAAUUUGUCGUGUGUCGACUGCAGUCCGACUCCGACAACGAAUCUGUGCUCGGUAUUCUCUGUAAGCAAGAAAUAUACCCAGUGAUAGCUCAGAUCAAAUAUGGCUACCCGUGUAAAUAGACAGAGCACGGUAUCGCACAGUGUGCUGUAAGGAAGCUACUGUUUUGUUGAGUAUUUCAAAUGUUAGGUCAUACCUUGUUGAUCGAGGUGGGUGACAGAGUGUUUCCAUUGUGAUUGAUGUUUUCUAUGGAACCCUGCGAUGAGCUACUGGACUUCCUAGAAUGGAAGGAGAAUAUGAAAUACUGAACUCAAGGAAGGUGAAGGUCACUGACUAUAAAAAGAACUUUUUGUGAAAUUGACAAAUAAAUGUUUUCUCGUUA